CACCUACUAAAAGGAGGCGGUCAGAGAUUUCUAGAAGUAGAAGAAGAGCAUUUAAAAGGGACUGAGAUAGCUGACAGAAUGGUACCCCAGGAGCCUUCCAGAAGUGUGCAAUCAGGAGCAGAAUACCCACAAGCUUCCUGUCCACUUCUUCGUUCUCCAAGAACUAGACAAUGUAUUGCCCUGGGAACUUCUUGAUCCUCUUAUCUGUCUGCCUUAUCGCUACGUCCCUUGGUAAUCACCAAAGUAACAGCCACCAAUGCCUUGAAAGUGUGCAGUGGAGUGAGCUCUUAAAGGAGAUUGAGAAACUGAACAAAAGAGGCUUUUCUUUGGAAUGUGAGGAAGUGAACAGUGAAGAUUUGUGUUUCCCUGAGAAGAUGCUAAAAGCAGUUAAAUAUGAUAGUGCCACCAUUGUUCAUAUAGUGCACGAAAUUGCUGAGUUUUUCAAGAGAGCAGACACACCUUUUCAAAAUAAGAACAAUUUUCUAAGAGGAAUGUAUGAAGCUCAUGCUCAGCUCAAGACUUGUCUGAAGUCUGGAUUUAACUUUAUCCAUGAAUCCAUAGUGAAGGACUGCUUCAAAAAAAUGGAUAAGUUGGUGGCCAAGGUAAGCAGGCUGUUUCUCAACAUAUUUUAUUUUCCAUGAUAAUGGAUGUUACCUUUUACAAAACAAGUAAUAAGCUUUUUAAUAAUAUUUUCUUCACAGAAAAAUAAUCACUGUACUUGGCAAGAGAUCCAUGCACAAUCCAGAGAGUUACUUCAAAGAAUUGAAAAUUACUCCUUCAAGAGAAGAUCAAUACAAUAAGAAUGUCAGUUUCAAUCAAAUACUUUGAGGAUCACAUCAAGAUAAAUUAUCCAAUUUUUCUAAAGAUGAAAGGAAGUAGCAUAUACAUAGUUCCUAUUUAAGGUUUUAAAUCACUUAAUUUAUUUUUGUCAAGA
rnacentral:lncRNA from 1 species